ensembl:lncRNA
GGGAGGGCCAAGCUGGGAAUUCUGCUGUUCUAAAGUGGGGUUGAGCUUUUACAGGAUGGGGUGAUGGGGGUUUUAUCUGUUCUUCAGUUAGGAUUGCUGCCCUCUGGCUCCUCCCAGGAAAUGUUUCCUGGCAGUGCCAGUUGCUCUUGGGGUUUCAUAUCCUCUUGGGGUUUCAUUUCGGGGUGUUUGAGUCAGGCUGCUCUCAGUGUUCCCCACCACUGGCAGCCUGCUAAUUUUCUCAGGUGAAAUCUGAGCUAAUUUUCUCAGUUAGGUGAAAUCUGAACUGUUUCACCCUAAUUGCAUCCCUGCAGCAGGGAGGGAUUCACGGACACAUCCAAAGCAGGGCAGAAAGAGCCGAGGGUCACAGUGGGGAGGGGGAGCAGCAAGGGAAGCAGAAGAUCCCAGUCCUCAGCAGUGACCAUUCCUAUUUCAGCCCAGGGGCUCCAGACCCUUCCCUGGCUCCGGUGACGCCCCGUGGAAGGAGGAGGAGAGAUGGGGACCCCACUACUGCCCCCCGCCACCCCCCUGGGGUGACAGAGAAGAAUUCCAAGGGCCUGAGGACGGCUUUGGAGACAGCUGGCACCUGGAUGUGCUCCCUGAUUCCUGGCCUGGAUUUCCUGAGGAGGAGCAGCCCCCACCCUGGCCCCCCACCGGCCCUCCACGGAACCCAGGAGCUUUCCAGGAACACCGCCCGCCCUGGAGCCACCACCCGGCUGGGAGACGCCGCCUCCGCAGGAGCCACCACCGGCAGCUGACCGUGGUCCCCCGGGCAUGGUGUCCCCCAGCCCCCCGAGGGCACAAGCAACACUCCAAGCGCUCUCCUGCCAUCUCCAACUCGAGCCAGCCAGCGGCCAGGAAGGAGCCACAGCCCCCGGAUCCUGCCCAGCCCCUGGAUCCUGCCCAGCCCCAGGGUCCUGCCCAGCCCCAGGGUCCUGCCCAGCCCCAGGAUCCUGCCCAGCCCCCGGAUCCUGCCCAGACCCCUGCUCCCCUCCAAGGUGCUGCGGAGACGCCGGAACAGCCGCAGGAUGUGCCAGUGGGGACUGGGAAUGUCCUGGAGCCCCCCAGUCCUGCUGGGAGCCCUCUGGAGAGCCCGGCUGCCGAUGCCGGUGCUGCGGAGCCGCCGGUUGAGCUGGAAGCUGGGCAGACCCCUGUGGGCAGCCAGGACCAUGAUCCCUGUGCUUUGGGGACAGAUCCAACCCCUCCAGAGGAGACCUCCAGCUAUCCCCAGAUCCAGGAGCACCUUGAGGUAGAGCCGUGCAGUCCCGGUGUCCCCAAGGCUGGCACCGCUCAUGGGUCACAUCCCCAGAGCCCAGCAGCCCCUCCACACCCUGCCAGGAGGGAACUCCUGGAAUCCAGCUCCUCUGGAGAGGCAGGGGCUGAGCUCAGCCCACAUUCCUGGGAGCAGCCGCCGCGUGGAGCUGGAGAAGCCGAGGCAGAAGCUGCCCAGGAUGGGCCUCUGCAGAGCCUUCAGCUGCCCAAAAACCCUCAGGUCCCUCCAGCAUCUGCAGCAGAACCCGAGGCCCAGCCCAGCCAGGCUUCUCCUGGUGCCUGCACCACACCAGAGACCUCUGCAGGGCCCCAGCACCCGCCUGGGUCCGGUGAGACAAACCCGGCUGUGUCUGGCCAGCAGCAGCACUGCUCCACGCUCCCCACACCAUUCCCGGCCGGCGUCGACUUACGCUCUGCCACCGUCCUCGCCAAGAAGGCAGAGAUCGAGCAGGUGAGCCCUGGCAGCCCCUGGAUGAGCACCUGGAGGCCUGGGAGAGGCUGCAGGAUGGGGGAUCUCACCUGAGGAUCUUCAGGAGCGAUGCUGGGUGGUGGGGGGU